UACAUGAAGCUGGAAUUGCUAGUAAUCAUAGGUCAGCAUACUAUGGUGAAUACGUUCCCGGGCCUUGUACACACCGCCCGUCACACCAUGAGAGUUGAGAAUACCCGAAGUCCAUGUCAAAGUGGCCGAAGGUAGGCUUGAUGAUUGGGGUGAAGUCGUAACAAGGUAUC
rnacentral:rRNA from 1 species